GCCUUCAUGGUGUAGUGGUCAGCACGCUGAGCGCAUAUUCCAGAAGUCUGUGGUUCGAGUCCUGGUGAAGGCA
rnacentral:tRNA from 1 species